GGGUUGUGAGGUUAAGCGACUAAGCGUACACGGUGGAUGCCCUGGCAGUCAGAGGCGAUGAAGGACGUGCUAAUCUGCGAAAAGCGCCGGCGAGGUGAUAUGAACCUUUGACCCGGCGAUGUCCGAAUGGGGAAACCCAGUGUGAUUCGUCACACUAUCGUUAACUGAAUACAUAGGUUAACGAGGCGAACCGGGGGAACUGAAACAUCUAAGUACCCCGAGGAAAAGAAAUCAACCGAGAUUCCCCCAGUAGCGGCGAGCGAACGGGGAGCAGCCCAGAGUCUGAAUCAGCUUGUGUGUUAGUGGAACGGUCUGGAAAGUCCGACGAUACAGGGUGAUAGUCCCGUACACGAAAAUGCACAGGUUGUGAACUCGAAGAGUAGGGCGGGACACGUGGUAUCCUGUCUGAAUAUGGGGGGACCAUCCUCCAAGGCUAAAUACUCCUGACUGACCGAUAGUGAACCAGUACCGUGAGGGAAAGGCGAAAAGAAC
rnacentral:rRNA from 1 species